UUGAACGCUGGCGGCAUGCCUUACACAUGCAAGUCGAACGGUAACAGGUCUUCGGAUGCUGACGAGUGGCGAACGGGUGAGUAAUACAUCGGAACGUGCCCGAUCGUGGGGGAUAACGGAGCGAAAGCUUUGCUAAUACCGCAUACGAUCUACGGAUGAAAGCAGGGGACCGCAAGGCCUUGCGCGGACGGAGCGGCCGAUGGCAGAUUAGGUAGUUGGUGGGGUAAAGGCCUACCAAGGCGACGAUCCGUAGCGGGUCUGAGAGGACGGCCCGCCACACUGGAACUGAGACACGGUCCAGACUCCUACGGGAGGCAGCAGUGGGGAAUUUUGGACAAUGGGCGCAAGCCUGAUCCAGCCAUUCCGCGUGAGUGAAGAAGGCCUUCGGGUUGUAAAGCUCUUUCGGCAGGAACGAAACGGUGAGGGCUAAUAUCCCUUGCUAAUGACGGUACCUGAAGAAGAAGCACCGGCUAACUACGU
rnacentral:rRNA from 1 species